UACGUAGGUGGCAAGCGUUGUUCGGAAUGACUGGGCGUAAAGCGCGCGUAGGCGGAUCAUCAAGUCGGGGGUGAAAUCCCGGGGCUCAACCCCGGAAUGGCCUUCGAGACUGGUGGUCUUGAGUUCGAGAGAGGUGAGUGGAAUUCCGAGUGUAGAGGUGAAAUUCGUAGAUAUUCGGAGGAACACCAGUGGCGAAGGCGGCUCACUGGCUCGACACUGACGCUGAGGUGCGAAAGCGUGGGGAGCAAACAGG
rnacentral:rRNA from 1 species